rnacentral:rRNA from 1 species
CGGCGGACGGGUGAGUAACACGUGGAUAACCUACCUAUAAGACUGGGAUAACUUCGGGAAACCGGAGCUAAUACCGGAUAAUAUUUUGAACCGCAUGGUUCAAAAGUGAAAGACGGUCUUGCUGUCACUUAUAGAUGGAUCCGCGCUGCAUUAGCUAGUUGGUAAGGUAACGGCUUACCAAGGCAACGACGCAUAGCCGACCUGAGAGGGUGAUCGGCCACACUGGAACUGAGACACGGUCCAG